rnacentral:rRNA from 1 species
CUACAAAGGAAUUGACGGGGCCCGCACAAGCGGUGGAGCAUGUGGUUUAAUUCGAUGCAACGCGAAGAACCUUACCAGGGCUUGACAUCCCUGACCGCGUAUGAAAGUACGUUUUCACCCUCGGGUGACAGGGAGACAGGUGGUGCAUGGUUGUCGUCAGUUCGUGUCGUGAGAUGUUGGGUUAAGUCCCGCAACGAGCGCAACCCUCGACCUUAGUUGCCAGCAUUCAGUUGGGCACUCUAAGGUGACUGCCGGCUAAAAGUCGGAGGAAGGUGGGGAUGACGUCAAAUCAUCAUGCCCCUUAUGACCUGGGCUACACACGUGCUACAAUGGGCGGUACAAAGGGUCGCGAACCCGCGAGGGGGAGCCAAUCCCAAAAAGCCGCUCUCAGUUCGGAUUGCAGGCUGCAACUCGCCUGCAUGAAGCCGGAAUCGCUAGUAAUCGCGGAUCAGCAUGCCGCGGUGAAUACGUUCCCGGGCCUU